GAGAAAGUGGCAGAGUGGUUAUGCGGUCGACUUGAAUUCGGCAUAUGGGGGUUCAAUUCCUUCCUUCCUCG